rnacentral:rRNA from 1 species
AUUGAACGCUGGCGGCAUGCUUUACACAUGCAAGUCGAACGGCAGCGGGGAGGAGCUUGCUUCUCUGCCGGCGAGUGGCGAACGGGUGAGUAAUACAUCGGAACGUGUCGAGAAGAGGGGGAUAACCACCCGAAAGGGUGGCUAAUACCGCAUAAAUUCUGAAGAAGAAAGCUGGGGACCUAGGAAUAGGCCUAGCGCUUUUUGAGCGGCCGAUGUCGGAUUAGCUAGUUGGUGAGGUAAAGGCUCACCAAGGCGAAGAUCUGUAGCGGGUCUGAGAGGAUGAUCCGCCACACUGGGACUGAGACACGGCCCAGACUCCUACGGGAGGCAGCAGUGGGGAAUUUUGGACAAUGGGGGCAACCCUGAUCCAGCCAUGCCGCGUGUAUGAAGAAGGCCUUAGGGUUGUAAAGUACUUUUGUUAGGGAAGAAAAGUCAGCUGUGAAUAAUGGCUGAUACUGACGGUACCUAAAGAAUAAGCACCGGCUAACUACGUG